rnacentral:rRNA from 1 species
GACGAACGCUGGCGGCGUGCCUAACACAUGCAAGUCGAACGGAAAGGCCCUGCUUUUGUGGGGUGCUCGAGUGGCGAACGGGUGAGUAACACGUGAGUAACCUGCCCCUGACUUUGGGAUAACUUCAGGAAACUGGGGCUAAUACCGGAUAGGAGCUCGUGCUGCAUGGUGGGGGUUGGAUAGUUUCGGCGGUUGGGGAUGGACUCGCGGCUUAUCAGCUUGUUGGUGGGGUAGUGGCUUACCAAGGCUUUGACGGAUAGCCGGCCUGGGAGGGUGACCGCCCACAGUGGGACUGAGAUAGGGACCAGACUCGUACGGUGGGCAGCGGUAGGAAGUAUGACGCAAUGAGCGCAAGCGUGAUGCAGAGACGCCGCGUGCGGGAAGACGGCCUACGAGUUAUGAACCGCUUUCGCCUGUGACGAAGAGUGAGUGACGGUAAUGGGUAAAAAAGCACCGGCUAACUACGUG